UACGUAGGGUGCAAGCGUUGUCCGGAAUUAUUGGGCGUAAAGAGCUCGUAGGCGGUCUGUCGCGUCUGCUGUGAAAAUCCAGGGCUCAACCCUGGACCUGCAGUGGGUACGGGCAGACUAGAGUGCGGUAGGGGAGAUCGGAAUUCCUGGUGUAGCGGUGAAAUGCGCAGAUAUCAGGAGGAACACCGGUGGCGAAGGCGGAUCUCUGGGCUGUAACUGACGCUGAGGAGCGAAAGCAUGGGGAGCGAACAGG
rnacentral:rRNA from 1 species